GAUGAACGCUGGCGGCGUGCCUAAUACAUGCAAGUCGAGCGAACGGACGAGAAGCUUGCUUCUCUGAUGUUAGCGGCGGACGGGUGAGUAACACGUGGAUAACCUACCUAUAUGACUGGGAUAACUUCGGGAAACCGGAGCUAAUACCGGAUAAUAUUUUGAACCGCAUGGUUCAAAAGUGAAAGACGGUCUUGCUGUCACUUAUAGAUGGAUCCGCGCUGCAUUAGCUAGUUGGUAAGGUAACGGCUUACCAAGGCAACGAUGCAUAGCCGACCUGAGAGGGUGAUCGGCCACACUGGAACUGAGACACGGUCCAGACUCCUACGGGAGGCAGCAGUAGGGAAUCUUCCGCAAUGGGCGAAAGCCUGACGGAGCAACGCCGCGUGAGUGAUGAAGGUCUUCGGAUCGNUAAACUCUGUUAUUAGGGAAGAACAUAUGUGUAAGUAACUGUGCACAUCUUGACGGUACCUAAUCAGAAAGCCACGGCUAACUACGUGCCAGCAGCCGCGGUAAUGCGUANGUGGNCAGCGUUAUCCGGAAUUAUUUGGGCGUAAGCGCGCGUAGGCGGUUUUUUAAGUCUGAUGUGAAAGCCCACGGCUCACCGUGGAGGGUCAUUGGAAACUGGAAAACUUGAGUGCAGAAGAGGAAAGUGGAAUUCCAUGUGUAGCGGUGAAAUGCGCAGAGAUAUGGAGGAACACCAGUGGCGAAGGCGACUUUCUGGUCUGUAACUGACGCUGAUGUGCGAAAGCGUGGGGAUCAAACAGGAUUAGAUACCCUGGUAGUCCACGCCGUAAACGAUGAGUGCUAAGUGUUAGGGGGUUUCCGCCCCUUAGUGCUGCAGCUAACGCAUUAAGCACUCCGCCUGGGGAGUACGACCGCAAGGUUGAAACUCAAAGGAAUUGACGGGGACCCGCACAAGCGGUGGAGCAUGUGGUUUAAUUCGAAGCAACGCGAAGAACCUUACCAAAUCUUGACAUCCUUUGACAACUCUAGAGAUAGAGCCUUCCCCUUCGGGGGACAAAGUGACAGGUGGUGCAUGGUUGUCGUCAGCUCGUGUCGUGAGAUGUUGGGUUAAGUCCCGCAACGAGCGCAACCCUUAAGCUUAGUUGCCAUCAUUAAGUUGGGCACUCUAAGUUGACUGCCGGUGACAAACCGGAGGAAGGUGGGGAUGACGUCAAAUCAUCAUGCCCCUUAUGAUUUGGGCUACACACGUGCUACAAUGGACAAUACAAAGGGCAGCGAAACCGCGAGGUCAAGCAAAUCCCAUAAAGUUGUUCUCAGUUCGGAUUGUAGUCUGCAACUCGACUACAUGAAGCUGGAAUCGCUAGUAAUCGUAGAUCAGCAUGCUACGGUGAAUACGUUCCCGGGUCU
rnacentral:rRNA from 1 species